CAUUAUCACGCGUUACUCACCCGUCCGCGCGGACUACUGGGGUAUCUAAUCCCAUUCACGCGUUACUCACCCGUCCGACCUGACUACUGGGGUAUCUAAUCCCAUUAUCACGCGUUACUCAGCCGUCCGCCCCGACUACUGGGGUAUCUAAUCCCAUUCACGCGUUACUCACCCGUCCGAAGGGCGAAUUCGCGUGCCGCUAAAUUCAAUUCGCCCUAUAGUGAGUCGUAUUAAAAGGCAGCAGUGGGGAAUCUUGCGCAAUGGGAGCAAUCCUGACGCAGCGACGCCGCGUGCGGGAGGACGCCUUUCUGGGUGUAAACCGCUGUCACCGGGGACGAACUAGGCUGGGAGGCAAUGCCCAGUCUUUGACGGUACCCGGAGAGGAAGCACCGGCUAACUCCGUGCCAGCAGCCGCGGUAAUACGGAGGGUGCAAGCGUUGUUCGGAAUUACUGGGCGUAAAGCGCGCGUAGGCUGUCCUUUAAGUCUGUCUGUGAAAGGCCGGGGCUCAACCCCGUGCAGGGCAGGGGAUACUGGAGGACUUGAGAGAUGCAGAGGCCAGCGGAAUUCCGGGUGUAGCGGUGGAAUGCGUAGAGAUCCGGAAGAACACCGGCGGCGAAGGCGGCUGGCUGGGCAUCAUCUGACGCUGAGGUGCGAAAGCGUGGGGAGCAAUGGGAUUAGAUACC
rnacentral:rRNA from 1 species